CAUUCUUAAGAUGAGCCUUAUUUCUGAACUACCGAACCUCCAGUUAAUACCAAACUUUUAACAUCUUCACUAAUUUCCUGACAAGAUGCGUGUACUUUUCGUCGUCAUGCUUAUCUUCGGAGUGAUAAUUGCUCCCAGAUUGGCGAUCCCACAAUCAAGAUCCGUUGGUGACGUUAAUUCUACAAUCUCUUGUAUCUGCACGGCGCCAAAAUGUACUGGGGAAAAUCCCGACUACGAGUGUGGGAUCGGCAAGGUCUGCAAAGACCUCGCCGCUUGUGGGUGGAGGUGCCAGGGGGGAUUUUUGCAGUUAUGUGUCGCAAUUUAAAUUGAUUUUAAACUCAAUUUAGAAGUUGAUUUAGUCACGUGCUAUAUAUGUACGUUGACCAUUAUUUAGUUAAUUAUGUGAAUAAAAUUCAAAAUUAGUAUGAUCAAUUUACAAAGUAGAAGUAGCAGUUUAAACAAAUUGUGAAAAAUGUUUCUGAUAUCAACCCUAAGAUUAAUUAUUUAAGAAUUUGACUUAAUCACUAUAGCUAAAUAUGCUGAUUAAUUGUUUGAUUAAUUGCCUAAAGUUGAAUAAUAAUUUGAAUUAAUUUACAAAUUAGAAAUACAAAA